rnacentral:rRNA from 1 species
UACAGAGGGGGCAAGCGUUGUUCGGAAUUACUGGGCGUAAAGGGCGCGUAGGCGGCCUGUUAAGUCGGACGUGAAAUCCCUCGGCUCAACCGAGGAACUGCGUCCGAUACUGGCGGGCUUGAAUUCGGGAGAGGGAUGUGGAAUUCCAGGUGUAGCGGUGAAAUGCGUAGAUAUCUGGAGGAACACCGGUGGCGAAGGCGGCAUCCUGGACCGACAUUGACGCUGAGGCGCGAAAGCCAGGGGAGCAAACGGG